UACGAAGGGGGCUAGCGUUGCUCGGAAUCACUGGGCGUAAAGGGUGCGUAGGCGGGUCUUUAAGUCAGGGGUGAAAUCCUGGAGCUCAACUCCAGAACUGCCUUUGAUACUGGCGAUCUCGAGUCCGGGAGAGGUGAGUGGAACUGCGAGUGUAGAGGUGAAAUUCGUAGAUAUUCGCAAGAACACCAGUGGUGAAGGCGGCUCACUGGCCCGGUACUGACGCUGAGGUGCGAAAGCGUGGGGAGCAAACAGG
rnacentral:rRNA from 1 species